rnacentral:rRNA from 1 species
GACGAACGCUGGCGGCGUGCUUAACACAUGCAAGUCGAACGGUAAGGCCCUUCGGGGUACACGAGUGGCGAACGGGUGAGUAACACGUGGGUGAUCUGCCCUGCACUUCGGGACAAGCCUGGGAAACUGGGUCUAAUACCGGAUAGGACUCCUGGCUUCCUGGUUGGGGGUGGAAAGCUUUUGCGGUGUGGGAUGGGCCCGCGGCCUAUCAGCUUGUUGGUGGGGUAAUGGCCUACCAAGGCGACGACGGGUAGCCGGCCUGGGAGGGUGACCGGUCAAACUGGGACUGAGAUACGGCCCAGACUCCUACGGGAGGCAGCAGUGGGGAAUAUUGCACAAUGGGCGCAAGCCUGAUGCAGCGACGCCGCGUGAGGGAUGACGGCCUUCGGGUUGUAAACCUCUUUCAGCUAUGACGAAGCGCAAGUGACGGUAGUAGCAGAAGAAGGACCGGCCAACUACGUGCCAGCCGCCGCGGUAA